rnacentral:lncRNA from 1 species
UUGAUCAUGACAAAAUAAGAAAGAAUCAUCUAAGAUGAUACAGAAAUAUGCUUCGGAGUCCUAUGAAGGUUGAGAUUUAGUGACAGAAACACUUGGAAUAUUAUAUAGCCAAGUAUCUGAAACAGAGAUUUAGUUAAAAAGGGUGAGAUUAAUAAAUAUUAGUGAUUUAUGGAAAGAUAGAGGGACCUAAAAAGGUUCUAGUAGAAACUAUAAAGCUCAAUGACGGUAAAAGAUUUAUAUAGCCAGGAAAUACUUGGAAUAGUAUACCUUGUUGUUUAUCUACUUUGUCACUUCCCGAUAUCUUAGUUUUAGAUAGCCUAUCUACUUGGAUAAUGCAUGCUUUGUGAGAUUAAAUUAAGUAAAAUUGAUGCUUGGACAUUAUUGUGUAAUCUGGGUAAGUUCCUAUCGUAUGCUUGUGAAGUCAAAAUUGAUCUGGUUCUUGUUUGUCAGCACUAUCUUUAGAACAUCUGGUAUAUAUUAUAUAUAGAGGUUAAAUUUUAUGCCUUAAAAAAAUUCAUUUAAUUCCUUUUUUGAAAUCCAUUGAUCAAGCUGAAUCCGAUGAUUCCCGGCAGAUGGUAAUUUUAUUUUAUUAGAAAACAAACUCAAAAAAAUCUUCUUGUAUGACUGACACCCAGAAAUGAGGGAAUAUAUACCUUGGAUUUGGGAAUCAAAGCCAGUAUAAGAUCUAUAUUUGUUUCCUGUCUUCUUAUAUGCCCCUGCAAAAUGAUUUGC